CAAGAGGUAGUUUAAUUUAAAAUAUUAAUUUUGGGGAUUAAUGAUAAAGUA
rnacentral:tRNA from 1 species